AAUUGUAGGCAGUUCGUGUGUGGAUCUCGUCAGCAUAUCGUCGCAAACAGGAAAUCCCCAACCAUAGUGGGCUUGGAGCUGUGAGGGAAUUCGGAGUGGCCACCCGUUCUGAAAGUUUGAUUUUUCUUCUAGUGAACUGGACAUCCUUUUAUUUACGUUUGAAGUUUUGGGUUUUUAAAUGUAAUAAGGCCGCUUAAUUAUUUUUGAUGGUUUUAAUAUGUAUUACUAAGAUAGGUAAUACUUAUUUUAACUAUUGAAAUUGGAUAGCUUUAGGGCGCGUUUUCAAAAACAACAGUUGAUUUCAAAAUAA